rnacentral:rRNA from 1 species
GUAGGUGGCAAGCGUUGUCCGGAAUUAUUGGGCGUAAAGCGCGCGCAGGUGGGGUCCUUUAAGUCUGAUGUGAAAGCCCCCGGGCUCAACCGGGGAGGGUCAUUGGAAACUGGGGAACUUGAGUGCAGGAGAGGAAAGUGGAAUUCCACGUGUAGCGGUGAAAUGCGUAGAUAUGUGGAGGAACACCAGUGGCGAAGGCGACUUUCUGGCCUGUAACUGACACUGAGGCGCGAAAGCGUGGGGAGCAAACAGGAUUAGAUACCCUGGUAGUCCACGCCGUAAACGAUGAGUGCUAAGUGUUGGGGGGUUUCCGCCCCUCAGUGCUGCAGCUAACGCAUUAAGCACUCCGCCUGGGGAGUACGGUCGCAAGACUG